UACGAAGGGGGCUAGCGUUGCUCGGAAUCACUGGGCGUAAAGGGUGCGUAGGCGGGUCUUUUAAGUCAGGGGUGAAAUCCUGGAGCUCAACUCCAGAACUGCCUUUGAUACUGAAGAUCUUGAGUUCGGGAGAGGUGAGUGGAACUGCGAGUGUAGAGGUGAAAUUCGUAGAUAUUCGCAAGAACACCAGUGGCGAAGGCGGCUCACUGGCCCGAUACUGACGCUGAGGCACGAAAGCGUGGGGAUCAAACAGG
rnacentral:rRNA from 1 species